UUUGUAAGAGGAGUUGGGCCCAAUCUCACCACCUAAUUAAUUUCUUUGACCAGCCAACUUCGAACCCGAUCGUCUUCCACAACUUCAGGCUAGCCGACGCCGGUGGAGUCAACGGCGAGAGAAGCGAUUUUGGUAUAAUGGAUCAUCGUAUAAAGUCUUUCGACGAAUUCCGGUGUGCAAUUUCGUCAUCUGUAUGGACCUGAAAGCUUAAAGCAUUUUAUUCAUCAGGAUGUAGGCAUUUGUUGGUUAUCAUCAAGUCACUAGAGUUGACUGCAUUUUUUGAGGUAUUCAUGACGGGGUUUCUAUCUGCUAAUAUGAACUGAAAGUGAAACUAGUGUGUGUCCCCUCACCAGUUGUAAGCUUUGUUUGCUUGUAUUAGACUUUCUUCCGUAUGCAUUCAUGUAAGCUUUGCUUGCUUGUUUUGCGAUUUGUGUUCUGUGUGGGACAGGGAAGAGAAGCUUGUAACUGUGUUUGGAUUUAUUUCAUGUUUUGAAUCACAUGAAAGAUGCAUUUUCAUAUUGAUGUACAAUGAAUUUCAGCAGAUUCUUUAACUUCAUGCUAAUUUGCGGAACAAAGGUGUUUUCAGCCUACACUUUUGCAGUUGUGUCGGAAUUCAUAUAGCCUGUGAGCAUAAUGGAUGGGCCACAUGAUGUUCAGUGCCACUGGACCUCGAGUUUAUUGUUUAUCACGAUGACUCAAGGUUGUUCCAAAUCGUGGCAAUGCCAGAAAUAAGUUUUAGAACUUUGUUUUCAUUAUUCAGCACUAUUCCAAAUCUAUAAUUCUGGACAGGGAGUGGCAAGAUGCUCAUAUGGAGGUUACAUACACAGAUGUAACUACCUUUGUGUUUUCUGAUGCUGCAACGUUAAUGGGCCAUCUGGAAGAUCACCUUAUGAAAGAUCAACAUAUUGGUAUUGGCCAGUGAUAACUUUUCUUCUAAUGCCUAAUUUGUUUCUUCAUCAUUCUUGGGGAAAAUUCUUUUCACGGCCUCAGGUAUCAUGGCAAAGUACUUUACUUUUCAAAAUGGCAAUUGAAAAAGAUUGUCUUUAUAUUUGAUUGACUUUGAAUCUGGUGGGAUAUAAGAACAAUGAAACAUGUGUAUUGAUCAUCUAUUGUGUGGUUUUGUGCUUAUAUUAAAUCAAUAUUUGGUGAAGGUCAAGUUGAUAUGAAGUGAAUACUAUCAUCUUAAUUCAUUGGAGCUUAGUUGAAUAGUGAUGGCUAAUAUCUAGCAGUUCAUGGAGCGGUAUAGUUUUCAUGACUAGGUUCAGAUUUUGAGGUUUUGCUAAUGACUGGUAAUAGGUGAAUUUUCUUUUCUUUUCGUUUGUGUGUGUGUGGUUGUGCAUUGUUUUUGAACAUUUAAUUUGAUUUCAGGAUUGAAACUAGGCAAAUUUUGUGGCCAGACCAAGUUAUGGACAUAGAUAUCAUCACCUUUAAGGUGAAGCAAAAUGGGGAAAAGACAAGGAAAAAGAAAAAAGAGCUAGGAAAAGUUAACUCCUCUCUGAAAUUAAGCCGUUCUUUCCAUAGUUCUAGCUCAUGGAUAUUAGGAGGAUUGAAACUUUUUCUUCUUUGGGCAAUCUUGUAGAACGUCUCUAACCAGUCUGGGAAGUUCAGCAAUUUUAGAUAUAUUAGCUUAUGAACUGGCUAUAGAUGCCUUGAUAUAUACUACAUGUUCGAUGAAAUUUCCAUAAUGAUGUAUGGUAUAUUAAAUUCACUUGGCAGAUCUACUGGUGUCUGCUUAUCCAUAGAAUUCUGAGGUUACGACGGUGCCUGAGAAGCUCUCUACGUAUUCAGUGAUGGUUUGGCUUUUCAAAUCAUUCACUUUUACCAUUGGAACCCAUGGGAACUGUGAGCGCAUUUUCUGUUGCCACGAUUCUAUGGAUCUUAAUCUCUUUGAUGAAUGACCAUCUGUCGCAGACUGCAUUUUGCUAUGGGCUUGACAUUCACCUGAGAAUAUGCAUUUCCAAGCAUCUUACUUCUUGAUCCGCAUUACUUCCGAUCUAUGCAGCUAGUUCUGAUCUCCCUAUUUGCAAAUGACUUACCCCAUUGUGUUUAUUUCUGCAGACGUUGACGUAUAUAGCAUUCAACAAGGUCAUAAUGGUACAAUACUCUGUGUGAUUCUACUGUCUAGCUACUGCCUCAAAUAUUGCCAUGGAGCAACAUGAAGCUUAAAUGGAAAUGCAUGGCUACAUAUUUCUUGCAAUUUACCUAUGGCUUUAUUCGGGUUUGGUUUCGGACAUAUACAUGGUUAACAGUAAAGUUGCCACUUUUGUAUUACAUCUGCUAUAUAUAUAAAUGCGUGGGCGUACAAUAGAAAAUGUACUAAUCAUAUCAUAUAAUUACAUCUAAUCAACAUCUAUUAUUAAAGUUUA